rnacentral:lncRNA from 1 species
CCGGCCCAAGUGGCCGCGGUCACCUGGGCUGGGGGGGGGGGGUGGGGACAUGGCUGCCACCCCUGCGCCGUGUCACCGAUGUCACCAAAUGUCACCGAAUGUCACCGAAUGUCACCGAAUGUCACUGAAUGUCACCAAAUGUCACCGAGGUCCCCAAAGUCCCCAAAGUCCCCAAGGUCCCCAAUGUCCCCCCAAUGUCCCCAAUGUUCCCAAUGUCCCCCCAAUGUCCCCAAUGUUCCCAAUGUCACCAAAUGUCCCCAAUGUCCCCAAGGUCCCCAAAGUCCUCGAGGUCCCCAAGGUCCUCAAUGUCCCCAAGGUCCCCGAUGUCCCCAAUGCCCCCCAAUGCCCCCCAAUGCCCCCCAAGGUCCCCCAGGGGACCCGGGGGUGGCGCCGCUCCCCUGCAGGUGACAUCCGUGUGACAGCGGGGGUGGCCCUGCGUGGGGACAGGCGGCUCGUGACCCCUGAGCUGCUUUUGUCCCUCUCCCUGUCCCUGUCCCUUGUUCCUGUCCCUGUCCCCAUCCCUGUCCCUGUCCCCUGUCCCCAAUCCUGUCCUGUCCCCAUCCCUGUCCCCUGUCCCCUGUCCCGUGUCCCGCUGUCCCCGUGUCCCCCUGUCCUGCUGUCCCCACCCGUGUCCCCCUGUCCCCCUGUCCCGUGUCCCGCUGUCCGCUGUCCCCCUGUCCUGCUGUCCCCACCCGUGUCCCGCUGUCCCCGCAGGGUGUCCCCAAGCCCUUCACCGAGGUGAUCAGGGCCAACAUCGGCGACGCGCACGCCAUGGGCCAGCAGCCCAUCACCUUCCUGCGCCAGGUACGGCCGCGGCGCCACCGCCGCGUGUCCCCGCCUGUCACCCCCCUGUCCCCGCGUGUCCCCCGCCUGUCCCCGCGUGUCACCGCCUGUCACCCAAUUGUCACCUCCUGUUACCCCCCUGUCACCUCCUGUCCCCCGCCUGUCCCCGCCUGUCCCCCGCCUGUCCCCGCCUGUCCCCCACUGUCCCCGCCUGUCCCCCUCCUGUCCCCGCGUGUCCCCCG